GCCCGGGUGGUGGAAUUGGCAGACACAAGGGUCUUAGAAGCCCUCGCCGCAAGGCUUACAGGUUCGAGUCCUGUCCCGGGCA
rnacentral:tRNA from 3 species